GAUGAACGCUAGCGGCAGGCCUAAUACAUGCAAGUCGAACGGUGUAGCAAUACACAGUGGCGCACGGGUGCGUAACACGUAUGCAACCUACCUUACAUUGGGGGAUAGCCUUUCGAAAGGGAGAUUAAUACCGCAUAAGACAGUAACUUGGCAUCAAGUAGCUGUUAAAGAUUUAUCGAUGUAAGCUGGGCAUGCGUCCAAUUAGUUAGUUGGCGAGGUAAUGGCUCACCAAGACGAUGAUUGGUAGGGGAACUGAGAGGUCAAUCCCCCACACUGGCACUGAGAUACGGGCCAGACUCCUACGGGAGGCAGCAGUAGGGAAUAUUGGGCAAUGGACGCAAGUCUGACCCAGCCAUGCCGCGUGCAGGAAGAAGGCGUUAUGCGUUGUAAACUGCUUUUAUAUAGGAAGAAACGACCCUUGCGAGGGGCAUUGACGGUACUAUAUGAAUAAGCACCGGCUAACUCCGUGCCAGCAGCCGCCGUAAGAC
rnacentral:rRNA from 1 species